rnacentral:tRNA from 1 species
UGGGGUGUAGUUUAGUGGUAGAGUUCUUACUUAAUAUGCAAGAGGCCUUAGGUUCUAUCCCAAGUACCUCAA